UUUGGAUCCAAAGCCAGGGUUGAGAUCCCUGUGCUGAAUCAGCCGAGGGUCUUCUGUGUUCACACAGCCAUCCAAGGAUGCUGCCAGCACUGGGUGUCACUAACAGUUGUUUUCUUUCUGGUAAUUCAUCAUCAGCCUUUCCUGGCAAUUUCUGUCCAAUGUCCUGGCUGCCACUCGACCCAGACAUCCCACUCUGCUCCCUGCUGAGCCCCCAUGCCCUCCAUGCCAAGGCCAGAGGUCCCUUUCCCUAGUCCUCUGGAUGUCACACACCUCAGAACUGUGGCCUGCAAAUGUCUGACUUCCGGGAGCAGCUGCUGGCCUGCGCUGGGAUGGAAGCGGAGUAUGUGGUGGAGUUUUCCUGUGAUCUUCCAAGAGCCCAAGUGAGCCAGCCAGAUGGAGCAGGUCCUGGCGGCAUAUGCCCAGUGAGUUAAGCCUAGGACCCCAGGGCAGGUCCCUCCCAGGAAGGCGCUGGCAGAGAACCCAUGCAUGAAGGCUGUCAACCAGUCCAUAGAUUCACCUGGAGAAGGUGGGGCCCUCCUGAUGGCAGCCACAUCACUGCCUGCCCCAGUUCCUCCUGUGCCUGAGAAAGUGGGUCCCAUGUGCAGACUUCCGGGUCCACACCAGCUCCCCAGCCCCAGCAGCUGCCAGGAUCCAGGGUCCCCAGCAAAGCCACCAGGAGAGGAUUCAGCUUAUCUCUUGGGAGCAGUGGGUCCUGCCGUGCUGGGCCUGGCCCUGAGCAGCUCAAGCUGGGACUCUUCCCACUCAGCAUGGCCUGAGGUCAGCUUCCUGCCAGCCAUCCAGAGCAACAGCCCCACCCCUCCACAGCAGCCACCUUCCCACAGGCGAAGCCCACCUGCCCCUGCCCUCCCCAGCAGACUUUCAGAGACCCUGUUUCUGUCACUGAGAUGCUCUGUGGAAAGGGACCCUCCCUCCCUCUGGCUGCUCCUGCUCCCAGCAACCCUCCUCUCACCCCAGCCCAGAGAAAGGGGCCUUGCUCCCCUGAGCCUUCUUCUCCACAACCUGGAGCCCACAGGGAGCAGAACUCCUGGCUGCAUGAGACGUGUCUGUCAUGGCCAGCCACCGCCCCUGAUGCACAGCACAUUCAGCUCGGUUCUCAUAUUCCUCUUUAUGGAUUCAUGGAGCUUUUCCUCUCCAGCCUCCUUAGUGAAGACAGCACUGAGGUGUAGGGGUGGCUCAUGUGGCCACCAUAUCGGCGGAGCCCAGGCACGGCACAGCACCAGGAUUGCCCUACCUCCCUGCUGAUUCCUACGAGCACAGCUGGAGUCAGGCUCAGGGGUGUGGGUGGGCAUGGUGGCCAGGACCCUCGGAUUCCCAGGUGCCCUCCUCAUCCUCUCCAGGGGGCCUGCUGCAGGGAUGGCAGAGGUGGGAUAGAGUUUGACAUGCAAGC
ensembl:lncRNA